GACGAACGCUGGCGGCGUGCUUAACACAUGCAAGUCGAACGAUGAAGCCCAGCUUGCUGGGUGGAUUAGUGGCGAACGGGUGAGUAACACGUGGGUGAUCUGCCCUGCACUCUGGGAUAAGCCUGGGAAACUGGGUCUAAUACCGGAUAUGACCUCUUGCUGCAUGGCGAGGGGUGGAAAGUUUUUCGGUGCAGGAUGAGCCCGCGGCCUAUCAGCUUGUUGGUGGGGUAAUGGCCUACCAAGGCGACGACGGGUAGCCGGCCUGAGAGGGCGACCGGCCACACUGGGACUGAGACACGGCCCAGACUCCUACGGGAGGCAGCAGUGGGGAAUAUUGCACAAUGGGCGAAAGCCUGAUGCAGCGACGCCGCGUGAGGGAUGACGGCCUC
rnacentral:rRNA from 1 species